rnacentral:rRNA from 1 species
AGAGUUUGAUCAUGGCUCAGGAUGAACGCUGGCGGCGUGCUUAACACAUGCAAGUCGAACGAAGCACUUAUCUUUGAUUCUUCGGAUGAAGAGGUUUGUGACUGAGUGGCGGACGGGUGAGUAACGCGUGGGUAACCUGCCUCAUACAGGGGGAUAACAGUUAGAAAUGACUGCUAAUACCGCAUAAGACCACGGAGCCGCAUGGCUCAGUGGGAAAAACUCCGGUGGUAUGAGAUGGACCCGCGUCUGAUUAGGUAGUUGGUGGGGUAACGGCCUACCAAGCCAACGAUCAGUAGCCGACCUGAGAGGGUGACCGGCCACAUUGGGACUGAGACACGGCCCAAACUCCUACGGGAGGCAGCAGUGGGGAAUAUUGCACAAUGGGGGAAACCCUGAUGCAGCGACGCCGCGUGAGCGAAGAAGUAUUUCGGUAUGUAAAGCUCUAUCAGCAGGGAAGAAAAUGACGGUACCUGACUAAGAAGCACCGGCUAAAUACGUGCCAGCAGCCGCGGUAAUACGUAUGGUGCAAGCGUUAUCCGGAUUUACUGGGUGUAAAGGGAGCGUAGACGGCUGUGUAAGUCUGAAGUGAAAGCCCGGGGCUCAACCCCGGGACUGCUUUGGAAACUAUGCAGCUAGAGUGUCGGAGAGGUAAGUGGAAUUCCCAGUGUAGCGGUGAAAUGCGUAGAUAUUGGGAGGAACACCAGUGGCGAAGGCGGCUUACUGGACGAUGACUGACGUUGAGGCUCGAAAGCGUGGGGAGCAAACAGGAUUAGAUACCCUGGUAGUCCACGCUGUAAACGAUGACUACUAGGUGUCGGGGAGCAAAGCUCUUCGGUGCCGCAGCAAACGCAAUAAGUAGUCCACCUGGGGAGUACGUUCGCAAGAAUGAAACUCAAAGGAAUUGACGGGGACCCGCACAAGCGGAGGAACAUGUGGUUUAAUUCGAUGAUACGCGAGGAACCUUACCCGGGCUUGAACUGUAGGCGAACGAUUCAGAGAUGAAGAGGCCCUUCGGGGCGCCUAUGGAGGUGCUGCAUGGUUGUCGUCAGCUCGUGCCGUGAGGUGUCGGCUUAAGUGCCAUAACGAGCGCAACCCUUGUUCGUAGUUGCCAUCGGUUAAAGCCGGGCACUCUGCGAAGACUGCCUCCGUAAGGAGUGAGGAAGGUGGGGAUGACGUCAAAUCAGCACGGCCCUUACGUCCGGGGCUACACACGUGUUACAAUGGCAUGUACAGAAAGCUGGGUGUAUGCAAAUACGCUCGAAUCCCUAAAACAUGUCUCAGUUCGGACUGGGGUCUGCAACCCGACCCCACGAAGCUGGAUUCGCUAGUAAUCGCGCAUCAGCCAUGGCGCGGUGAAUACGUUCCCGGGCCUUGUACACACCGUCCGUCAAGCCAUGAAAGCCGGGGGCGCCUAAAGUCCGUGACCGCGAGGGUCGGCCUAGGGUGAAACCGGUGAUUGGGGCUAAGUCGUAACAAGGUA